CCUCAGCGCCCGUCUCCUGGAGAGCAAGAAAAGGAGUGCAUGAUGGGAACUUUGCAGCUAGUACACCAAAUGUUGAAGAGCAAAAGAGAAAACAUACUCCCAGAAUUCAAUGACCGGAAGACCAAGGAAGUUCCCAGGAAAACGAGAAGGACAGAUAGAAAAUCCCCCAGGCCAGAACGAUGAUGUAGUAGAAGUUGAGCAGAGUCACGAUCACCUGGGUGCCAUAACCAAGACCUGCAGAGGAAGUUCAGAGGAGUUCCUGAGCGUCCCGCCGGGAUUAUUCCAUCACCUCCACAUUUAUGACAAGCUCUUGCCUUCAAACAAGGGGCUGAUCUUCCUCCAGCAGGUGAUGCCGCCCUGACUGGUGUACUGACCGAGGGCCGUCUCCAGGAAGAAGACGGGAACGCCACAAGUGAAGAGGAAGAUCAGCCCUCAGGGUGGAGAGAUGUUUGGAGAUUUGCAGGAACAGCUGCUGCGAGCAUAGAGCAACAACAGCUGUCUGACCCCGCUCUACCCUGACCUCUGACCCCUGCCUGACACCCCCUGAAGAAAGGCAUGGACAUCCAAUUUAGCAGCUACACAAGCAUGUCCAAAAACAAAACCAGGACAGGAGGAGGGGGGUUCUCAGUCCUUUGAUUGGUCCCUAAAGACAAAUUUUUAAAUCUUUAAGUUGUAUCGGCAGAGGUAGGGGAAGCGCCACAUGUUGCCCAGGCCGAUGAUGGAGCCCGCCACCGACAGGAUGAACUCCAGCUUGUUGCUCCACUGGCCUCGCUCCUCCAUCUUCUGCUCGCAGGGCGGCAGCACAUCCUGGUUGCCACCAUUGGGGAGGCCUGCUUUGGCAGAAUCCUCUAUGAAUAACAGCAGAAAGCCACAAAGUCAGGCCCCUCCCCCAUCUUUACUGAGAUCUACCUGAUCCGUCGCUUACCUUUCAUUGCAGCCUAACGUCGGUCUGUCUCGAGCCUGGAACGAUUUUUUUGUGCACGCUCAUCCAUAAACACUCAACUUUUUUUGCUAUAUAACGCCACUCCAGAAAGGGGCGGGGCACUGUAACGCUAAACCAGGGCCAGCCUCCUCUCUCCGGCCCUUCAUUUGCCCCCGUCUGAGCAAAGUACAUCACCGGCCACGACUCUUCAGUUAAAAUGAGGAGACACAUAAGAGGAAUCUCUGACCUGUUGGCCUCUCAUAUCAACACUCCACUGCUGAAGGCGAAUAUGAAGAAAAUUGAAAUUGUGGAACAACCACCAAAAGAAUUAAUAAAAAAUAAAAA